UGUGAACGCACCGUUAGCCGUUGCCUCGGCGGGCGGCCCCUCCCUGGGGCCGCUGCCCCCCUCGCGGGGGGUGCCCGCCGGCGCGCCAAAACUCUUUUGUAUUUUAGUGGCCUCUCUGAGAAAACAAGCAAAUAAGUUAAAACUUUCAACAACGGAUCUCUUGGUUCUGGCAUCGAUGAAGAACGCAGCGAAAUGCGAUAAGUAAUGUGAAUUGCAGAAUUCAGUGAAUCAUCGAAUCUUUGAACGCACAUUGCGCCCGCCAGUACUCUGGCGGGCAUGCCUGUCCGAGCGUCAUUUCAACCCUCAAGCCCCGCUUGGUGUUGGGGUCCUACGGCUGCCGUAGGCCCUGAAAGUUAGUGGCGGGCUCGCUAUAACUCCGAGCGUAGUAGUAACAUAUCUCGCUAGGGAGGUGUCGCGGGUUCCGGCCGUGAAAGCCCCAUCUUUUACACAAGGUUG
rnacentral:rRNA from 1 species